rnacentral:rRNA from 1 species
UACAGAGGUCUCAAGCGUUGUUCGGAAUUACUGGGCGUAAAGGGUGCGCAGGCCGCGCGGGCAGUCAAAUGUGUAAUCCAGGGGCUCAACCCCUGAACUGCGCUUGAUACUUCCGCGCUCGAGCUUUGGAGAGGAGUCUGGAAUUCUCGGUGUAGCAGUGAAAUGCGUGGAUAUCGAGAAGAACACUUAGGGCGUAGGCAAGACUCUGGACAAAUGCUGACGCUCAUGCACGAAGGCUAGGGUAGCGAAACGGG